rnacentral:rRNA from 1 species
GACGAACGCUGGCGGCGUGCUUAACACAUGCAAGUCGAACGGAAAGGCCUCUUUCGGGGGGUACUCGAGUGGCGAACGGGUGAGUAACACGUGAGUAACCUGCCCUUGACUUUGGGAUAACUUCAGGAAGCUGGGGCUAAUACCGGAUAGGAGCUCCUGCUGCAUGGUGGGGGUUGGAAAGUUUCGGCGGUUGGGGAUGGACUCGCGGCUUAUCAGCUUGUUGGUGGGGUAGUGGCUUACCAAGGCUUUGACGGGUAGCCGGCCUGAGAGGGUGACCGGCCACAUUGGGACUGAGAUACGGCCCAGACUCCUACGGGAGGCAGCAGUGGGGAAUAUUGCACAAUGGGUGGGAGCCUGAUGCAGCAACGCCGUGUGCGGGAUGACGGCCUUCGGGUUGUAAACCGCGUUCGCUCAUGACGAAGCUUUGUGUGACGGUAGUGGGUAAAGAAGCACCGGCUAACUACGUG